GAUGAACGCUGGCGGCGUGCCUAAUACAUGCAAGUCGAGCGAACGGACGAGAAGCUUGCUUCUCUGAUGUUAGCGGCGGACGGGUGAGUAACACGUGGAUAACCUACCUAUAAGACUGGGAUAACUUCGGGAAACCGGAGCUAAUACCGGAUAAUAUUUUGAACCGCAUGGUUCAAUAGUGAAAGACGGUCUUGCUGUCACUUAUAGAUGGAUCCGCGCUGCAUUAGCUAGUUGGUAAGGUAACGGCUUACCAAGGCAACGAUGCAUAGCCGACCUGAGAGGGUGAUCGGACAAACUGGAACAGAGACACGGUCCAGACGCCUACGGGAGGCAGCAGUAGGGAAUCGUCCGCAAUGGGCGAAAGCAUGACGGAGCAACGCCGCGUGAGUGAUGAAGGUCUUCGGAUCGUAAAACUCUGUUAUUAGGGAAGAACAAAUGUGUAAGUAACUGUGCACAUCUUGACGGUACCUAAUCAGAAAGCAACGGCUAACUACGUG
rnacentral:rRNA from 1 species